rnacentral:rRNA from 1 species
GACGAACGCUGGCGGCGUGCCUAAUACAUGCAAGUCGAGCGAAUCUUUAGGAGCUUGCUCCUGAAGGUUAGCGGCGGACGGGUGAGUAACACGUGGACAACCUGCCUGUAAGACUGGGAUAACACCGGGAAACCGGUGCUAAUACCGGAUAAUUCUUUUCCUUACAUGAGGGAAAGCUGAAAGUCGGUUUCGGCUGACACUUACAGAUGGGCCCGCGGCGCAUUAGCUAGUUGGUGAGGUAACGGCUCACCAAGGCGACGAUGCGUAGCCGACCUGAGAGGGUGAUCGGCCACACUGGGACUGAGACACGGCCCAGACUCCUACGGGAGGCAGCAGUAGGGAAUCUUCCGCAAUGGACGAAAGUCUGACGGAGCAACGCCGCGUGAGUGAUGAAGGCCUUCGGGUCGUAAAACUCUGUUGUUAGGGAAGAACAAGUAUCGGAGUAACUGCCGGUACCUUGACGGUACCUAACCAGAAAGCCACGGCUAACUACGUGCCAGCCGCCGCGGUAAAAC